AUUCAGGAUAGUUUUAUACCUACCUCUUGCAUCAAUCCCUCAUUGUAUUAGCCUCUACCACUUCUGCUGGGAAGUUGUUCCAUUCAUCUAUGUAAAUUUCCGGAACCAUCCUCGUGAACGUGAGCAGCACGUCCACUGGUCCCUGCUGUACCAAUAAAGAUGCCCUCGGUACGUGUCCUUCAAGCCGCCAUUACCACCUCGGCAGAAGUGAAAAGGACCAGGACACUUAUUCCUAUAAAGACGUUUCAGACUGUGUCAAAAUUACCCGAUGUUGCCCCGGAACAUACUCAGUGGCCGCCUUGCACUUCCCACAGAAGAAGCCAUUGAGCAGAUUUGUCUUGUGUCAUCGUUGACUGUGGGAGAUGAAUACAGAAGCCACCAGGGCACAGCACAAGACCUAAAUUGCACCCCUAUGAUGACAACAACUCUGUAUUUUAUACAAAUGUAUCAUAAAUAACCUGGUAGUUUAUAAUAAAAAUAUAUACAUAUUAAA